UACUUAUUACUGGUAGUGAGUCUCUAAGAAAAGAGGAGGUAGUUGUUUUCCUUCUCUUUUCUUUGAGACUCACUACCAAUAAUAAGAAAUACUACUA
ensembl:miRNA